AUUCAGUUGACGAGUCUCACACAGGACGAAACACGCAUCCUGGAU
rnacentral:hammerhead_ribozyme from 1 species